rnacentral:rRNA from 1 species
UACGGAAGGGGCAAGCGUUGUUCGGAAUCAUUGGGCGUAAAGGGCGCGUAGGUGGUUCUGUAUGUCUACCGUGAAAGCGUACGGCUCAACCGUAUUUUGUCGGUAGAAACUGCAGGACUUGAGGCUGGGAGGGGCUGGUGGAAUUCCCUGUGUAGCGGUGAAAUGCGUAGAGAUGGGGGAGAACACUCGUGGCGAAGGCGGCCAGCUAGACCAGUUCUGACACUGAGGCGCGACAGCGUGGGAGCAAACAGG